UUUCCGUAGGUGAACCUGCGGAAGGAUCAUUAACGUAUCUCUGACGGCGAGGGUGCGCCUCGACCCGGACUGAAAGGUCGUGCAGCGGGCGAGCCCGAGCCGCUCAACCUUUGCAAACCACACUGUGCACUUUUGUCGGCCAAGCGCCCUCAAGAUCACGACCCGGACCAAAAACACUACUUUUCCGAAAGAACAGUUGCCGCUGCGACGCCUAAACUUUAAGAACUUUCCACAACGGAACUCCUCGCUCGCGCAUCGAAGAAGAACGCAGCAGAUCGG
rnacentral:misc_RNA from 1 species